UACGUAGGGUGCAAGCGUUAAUCGGAAUUACUGGGCGUAAAGCGUGCGCAGGCGGUUGUGCAAGACCGAUGUGAAAUCCCCGGGCUCAACCUGGGAAUGGCAUUGGUGACUGCACGGCUAGAGUGUGUCAGAGGGGGGUAGAAUUCCACGUGUAGCAGUGAAAUGCGUAGAGAUGUGGAGGAAUACCGAUGGCGAAGGCGGCUUUCUGGGACGGUACUGACGCUGAGACGCGAAAGCGUGGGGAGCGAACAGG
rnacentral:rRNA from 1 species